GAUACCACCUGUUGUACUUUUGUCACACUUUAAAACCACAACUUGUGAAAUAGCGUCGAUUGUUGUGUUUCUUUGACGUCAGAACUCAUUUUUUYAUGUCCGUCUUCUCUCUGCAGGCCACUGUCACAGUGUACCAGGCCGUGGCAGAGUUCUGGACCAGUGAACAGAACCCAGGCUAUGAUCUAAAUGUGGACAUCUUGUUGCCGGGCAGAUCAAAGCCUGUAAAAUACAAUUUCAACAGGAGGAACCACUUUGCCACAAGAACAUCUAAAAUGAAUAAUAUAAACCAAGAUGUGACCGUCGUUGCCACAGGCCUAGGAGAAGCCACAGUGACGAUGGUGUCGUUGUUUUAUGCUUUACCUAAAGAAAAGCAUAGUGAUUGUCAGAAGUUCAAUAUGACAGUACAACUCCUCCCAG